UGUCCAUGGGUUAGUAACAAUCAACAAUAGCAAACAAAUGGUUAAUGUCUUUGAUUUGAUGUUUUGUUUUUUUCACUUAGUCAAAUACAUAGGAACAAGUUUGUCUUGAAAAGGUGGGAACAUAGAUUAAUUUGAUCAUAAACUUGCAAUUGAACACUAAGCCCAGUACUUAAAGGAGCAUGGCUGAUAAUGCACCAAGCUUCAAUGAUGAAAUUUAAAAAUACUUAAAUUAAUAAAAAAAAAUCCGUUUAUAUUAAUAGAACAUUUUCAAUUUCGUACCAUAUUUUAAUUUAUUAAAUUCAUGACCGACAUGUCAAAAAAGAUUUAUGGAUCAUAGUAUAUAUUUCUUAAACAAAAAUAUUGAAUUAAAGUAGAAAUUAAAAUAAAAUUUAAAAAGACUUGAGUUGGACUUUAUUAAUAAAUUUUAUUUCAUUAAAUUUAUGACUGACAUGUCAGGUUUAUGAAUCUAAUAUAUUUCUCUAAAACAAAAUGUUGGAUUGAAGUAAUACAUUAAUAUAAAAUUUAGAAAGAUUUGGGCUGAGCUUCAUUGAUAAACUUGAAAACGAGAUUGGGCUGAAGGGUCUAACUUGUUGAGGCCAAUUCCUCUCCAUGGGGUUCACGAUUGUUGUAGUUGAAACAUAUUAAUGGGCAACAAAGCCUAACCAGCUUGCACAUUAGGAAAUCUGUAGUUCCCCACCUAAAUUACAAACAACUGUUCUGAAGAUCUUCUAGACUAGUCGUGGAGUUUAGAUCUCAUCCUAAUCCAAGUGAAAUAUAUAUAAAAAUCAUUAUUUAAGCUAACCCUCUUUUUUUUUAAUUUUUUCUCUUACUCAUCUAAUUUUCAACUCCCACUUUGUUUUUGUGAAAUUUUCAUCGUUAAAUCAUCAUUAUUUAGGCUACUACUAUUAAUCAAGUUGUCAUUGUCUCAAAGCAAAGACUAUCGACCACAGAGUAGAAUAAAGCUAUCAAGAAGCUACAAAGCCAUCAUUCUCAGCCUAAUAACCGGUACAUUGAGCCUAACCCUAAGAACAAAAAUGCUUCUUCUGUUCAAGACAUAAAAUAAAGCUGUUUUAGGCCUAAAAAGGGAAGGCAAAAAAAACAAAAACAAAGCAUGUUUACAAUGUGAACUCAACAGGGCUUAACGUAGAUGCCUGAGAGUCCCCACAGAUCGAAUGAACUCAUGACAACUUAAUAUAAUGCUUUAACUUGGAUUUGACUUCGUCGAAGAUUGCUUUGGAUUACAUUCUUGGAAAAAACAUAAAUUUUUUCUAACUCCUAAUCGAUAGCUUUGUCACUUUAAAAAAUUCCUAUAUAAUUUUAUUUUGAUAAGGUUAGUUGAACGAGGUUUUGCUUUAGAUUCAUGUACCCAUUACAUCUUCCAAACAGGGGAAAUCAGUUCAAUACCAUAUAUUCUCAAUCACUACCUUACUUUUCCAUUUCUUCUUUACGUUUUUAAUUUGCUAAAUGCCUAAAUGGGUCACGGGAUGACCCAUGAGAUUUUUAAUCUUCAUUAAUACUCCAUCUUCUCUCUUUUUUCUUUUUUUUUUGUUGUUUUUAAGAUGAGCUUUCAACAUAUAAUUAAAUCUUUAUAAAUUAAUACCCUUAAGAUUAUGAAAAUUUAUUAAUUAAUCGAGAUAUUAUUUAAUCGAUAAAUUAAUAAUUUAUUAAUUUAUAUAUCAAUUAAGCUUUUUUAUACUUAAUUGAUGUAUGAAUUAGUCGUUUAGCAUCACUCUUGGUACUGGAGUAUGUCUCGGGUAAAUAUGCACUUAAAGUAACAAUCAUAUUGCAUAACUUUUUCUUACAAUAAGAGAACAUUAUAAUAAAAUUUUUUAAUGCACUAAGAAAAGUUUAAAAUGAAAUCUAAUAAGAUAUCAAUUUCAAGAGGAAACAAAUAGUAUUGGAAUCAUAUUUUACAAAAAUCUUCUAAUUGAGUCAUGUGUAUAUAUAAUUUUGAUGUAUAAAAAAAAUAUUAAUUUAUAUAUCAAAUACGACUUAUGUGAUUUUUUAAAAAUAUAUUAUCUUUUAAAUUUAGUGAAUUAUUAAUUUACCAUAUUCAUUUAAGUUGAAAUAGUCAAAAAAUUUAUUUAAUCAAAAUUAUUAACUUAUCAAGUAUUAGUUUAUAAAGAUUAUACUAUAAUUAAUGCACGUUAUAUUUGUCAUUUCCCAACAACUAGGUCUUAUAAGUUGAUGAGGGAAAAACGUGUUGUUUUACCAUUGUGAAGGCAGAGCAUUACUUUGCAGAAUGAGGGCAUUUUUUUUGUGCAAAAAAAAAUAUCAUUAUAUCAUCAUAAGGUCGAAGAAAGGUGUCACGACUCGAAAUUUUUUUCGGGCUCAUGACAACCGCCGCGACGUCCCGAUUGAUAUUCAUUACCCCGAAUACCAAUCAAAAUCCCGCAAGGCUUACGUAUCAGUUUCUUACCUUUACUGUGAGCAAUUGUUGUUAAACAUUCCGUUUUAAACAAUUACUAGUCAUUUCCGGCUCAAGUCAAUAAAAAGACAAAAAUUAUUUUAUUUAUUUAUUUAUUUUUUAAAAGAAUUUAUAGACAAAUAUUACUAUUCAAAAUAUUGAUUAAAAUAUAAUAUUUUUAUAUAAAAUAAUAUUUAUAGAAACACGUAUAAGUAAUCUUUUAUAACGUGGAAGUAAAAUAAAUUCAUACAUACAAUAAUUUACAAAGUUAUAAUGUAUAAUAAUAAUUACAAUGACAAGUGGCCCAUAAAUAUAUCAAGUGUUAGUGAUUGUAAUCUACUGUCUGUGAGAUAGAGGGAUCAACUGGAAUCCUCUAUAAAAUCGGGUAUCUACAAGCUACCACAGGCCUGAAAUAUUUGGAAAGGAGGUGGGUGAGAUUUUGCAAUCCCAAUGAGUAAACAGACAUUAUUAUAAAUAUCUAAAGACGAGUAAAAUGGAGACAAGUUUAAACAACAAAUCACAAACCAUUUCAUAAGGUUUUCAAUUUAUUUCUUAAACCAUAAAAUAUUUGUAAUUUACCAAAACAGUUGUUAAGGCUUAUGACUUUUAUUAACACAGGGCUCAAGCCAAAAACUAAUCCUUGGGAUACCUUGGUCGAGGCAUCUAACCGAGUCCGUCAAGGUUGUUAAGAUAUUUACAUGUUAAACACAUGUUAGUUUUGAAAACAAACCGCUCCUUGGCGUUAGUCGAGUUACACAUUCAAGUGGGAGUUCGACAUGAAGUGAGCUCUAACACUACCCCGGGGAGUUACCCUCCUCGCCUCUACAACCGGAGUAACUAUGCAAUCGGGUUUACCGUACCCCUCUAAUAGGCAGUCCACGGAAAUUCGUCACUGCAGUGACUAAACCCACCAAUUUUAACAAAAUUUCGACAGUAUAACGUGACUUUUAUUUAUUUACCCAGCCUGCAUAGUAAAAGACAGCUCACAUAAAUUUUCAAUGCAAUUAUAAAAUAUAGCCACAUAUACUCAUAUAUCAUAAGCCAUUCAUAAGAAAAUAUAUUUUUCAAGACAAUUGGCAACCUCCAAUUACUCAAUUUCAUGAUCAAAAGUUUCUUAUUUCAGAUAAUCAACACAAUAUAUUUAUUUGUCACAUUUAUUUCUAAAACAUCGAAAGUCCCAUUUUUAAUAUCAUUUUCGUUUCAUAAAAUACAUAAAGAGCAUUUAAAAAUAAACUCUAGAUAAUUUACAAUAAUAAUAGGUUUACUCACAAUUUGUACAAAUUAAAUACUUUCUAGGUGUCCCGAUCACUGUUCGUCGGGUACGACUUUCUUGCCUUUACCGGAAUGCUCUCCUCCUAGACACAUUACAAAAAUUACACAAUUCACCACAUUAAUGCUAAAUCACUAUAUAAUUGACUUAAAUUCUAUACUAAUACAUGGUAUGAAAUACAAUAGCCUAAAACGGCUUGAACACGGUAUAAACCUAUUUUUUUGCACUUUACCUGAUAAAUUGCUAACGCUCUCCAUUUUAGCUCUAAAUUGUCCCAUUUUCUCUCCAACAUUUCUAACCAUUAAAUAUCAGCCAAUAACCCUCUAAAAUCACCAAAAUCAGCUCACUUUUCUCCUUGAAAAAUUCGGUCAAAAAUGAGAUAUUAACUCGGUUAAUUUUUCACUUUGUUUUUCUAUCACAUGUAACCAUUUUUCAUCAUUUUCUCUUCAUUUCUCUUAGAAUAAAAAUCAGUUCAUCAUCAUUGUACAUCACUGAAUAUUCGGCCAAGGGUGGGUAUUGUGAGAAUUUCAUGCUUUCUUNNNNNNNNNNNNNNNNNNNNNNNNNNNNNNNNNNNNNNNNNNNNNNNNNNNNNNNNNNNNNNNNNNNNNNNNNNNNNNNNNNNNNNNNNNNNNNNNNNNNNNNNNNNNNNNNNNNNNNNNNNNNNNNNNNNNNNNNNNNNNNNNNNNNNNNNNNNNNNNNNNNNNNNNNNNNNNUCCUCAAGCAUGCUAAAUGGAAAAAAAGGACAUAGGAAAGGUAGAAAUCAAGCUAAAGUCGAAAAAUCUUACCGUUAGAUACGUAAACGGACGAAAAAUGUGAAUUCCCCUUUGAAUUUUCUAGUUUUCCUUUGGUUUUUCUCUUUUCUUCCUUUCCUCUCUAUUUUCUCUCUUAUUUUCUCCUUAUGGCCGACCAUCACCUGAUGUGGGGUUUAAAUGAACUGAUUUUCUUUUAAAAUAAUAUUAAAUCAUUAAAAAAGUGUUAUGUGUCACUUUUCCAUUGGCCUGUUUUUAAAAUUUCGUUCUUUAAACUUCAAUUUUUUUCCACUUAAAAUACCAUAGUUAUUCAUACAAAAAAUAAAUAAAUCCUAUGAUUUUGACAAGUUUUGGGUGGUGAAAAUUACGGUUUUACCUCGGGAUAACAAAAUUAUCGUUUUGCCCCUAUGUUCCAAAAAUUGCCGGAAUUGAAAAUUUUCACUUCCUAUCAUUAAAUUAUACUCCAAAUAGUUAAUCUUGGUCAAAAAUUUCACUCCAUGAUCAAAUUAUUAUCUUAGGUGACAAAAUGACGAUUUUGCCCCUAAACAUCAAAAUUUUAAAUUUUUCUCCAAAUGAACCCUCGAACUCCGAACAAUCAUUUUUAGUCAUUCCUGGACUGUAAAAUAUUAAAUUUCAUCAUACGAUUCCUAUUUGAACUAGUUCGAGGUUAAAUCAACUUAAGUGUACUGUUGGGUACAAUACCGGAUUUCGUCUAUUCUUAGGGGCUUUCAUAGCGUCAUAACAUGCUACUCAGUGCAUGUAUGUCAUGACAUGUAUUUAUAGGAUCGGGUUUUACAAAAUAUUUUAUUAAAAAUCAGCAGAGUCAAGAGAGUGACGGGUGGUGAUGAUUAUUAUUUCUUAAUUUUUAAUUUAUUAUUAUAUAUAUAUAUAUAUAAUUUGAUAUAUAUGAUAUGAUUAUUUUUAUGAUUAACCUUUAGUCACCCGUCACGUGAAAUCUUAAAUUCGUCAUUAUUAGUAGAAUUGUUCAAUUCUGAUGGACCAUUGUUGAUUUCAUAGAUUUUUGAAAAAGAAUAGUAAUUCAAUUAUCAAUGAAAUUAUAAAUUAAAAAAAAUUCAUCUGUACAAUAUCAUAUGAAUAUUUAAAUUAUCGACAUACGUUAUCAUUUUAAAAAUUAAAAAAAUUAGAUUCAAAAUCUUUGUUCUUUUAAUAAAAUAAAUGAAAACAUAAAUCACAACUUACCGAAAUAGAGAUAACUUCAUGAUUUUAAUUUAAAACUUGUGGAUGAACAAAUAUAUGUUUAAACUUUAAAAUAACUUCAAUUGUGCACUCAAUAUGGUCGUCAUAUUUGAGAACUGAAGAAAGAAAUUGAAAGAGCAAACAGUCGAGGAUAAAAUUUCUUCUUUCUCACAGAUAUCUAAAUCAAAUAAAUUGACAAAUAAAAAUAUAAAAAAUGUAAGAGAAAUUCAAGCCACAUUGGUGGACCUUGAAAACGUCAUUGCCUUGCGCAACUUGGACGGUGAAAGUUUUAUCCUCUCAUCCUUGAAGAAAAUUCAUCCAACACCAUCAUUAGAAGAGGAGCACCUCUGAGAUUGGAGGCAAUCAUCACCCCGUCACCAUUCUUAUUCCAUUUUUUUUAAUGCUUGUGACUUCUUGAAACAUUUUCAUUAUAUUUCCCCAACGGUGCCCCUCAAUUUUCCAAAAUCUUGCUUGAUCACUGUAACUAGAAAUCAUUUUCAAUCACAGGGUAGUUACCAUCAAGUUUCUGAUAUAAACAGAGAGGAAUUAGAGCCAGCAAUAUUGGGGUAGACGUAAGAAUGGAUUCACCGAAAUGGAUAUGAAGAUGUGGGGCUUUGGAUACCUCUCCUCAUCUCUGAAAUAUCUUUAUUACUAUUUUAAUUCAAUCUCUUAUUCUAAUGUCAGAAAAGAAUAAUACAUAUACAAAGACUCCAACGUUUGGAUCCUUAAUAAAACUCACCUAGACUACCAACUCAGAAGUCAAAGGUGCUAAGAUUAAUAAAUUGGUCUAAUGAGUUAACCUGACUAGAUUUUUUUUUUUUUUGCAUUUUGAGACAUUGUGUUACUUCUUCAGUCUCUCUCUCUCUUUUGUUUUUUUGAGAAUAAACUUAAGCCAAAGCCAACUCGAAAUUUACAUCACUCUGUUUCAUAUUUAUGAGACAAUGUAGGCCGCUGGAAUUCAAUUGUCUUCUUAAACCCUGGAUUCAGUUUUGAUCUUGUUAUUUUAGGCUAACAUGGCAUGAAUUCAUGGACACAAUUGGCAAAGAAGAGUCAUAUGAUGUUGUUGUUGUAAUGUAACCAAAGCCAAAUAGUGAAUGGAGGACCUGUCUGGCGGCUUGAAAUUAGACUAUGUUGUUGGAAAAGGGCGAGGGGACAAGGGACAAGGGUAAGGGGCGGGGGAGUGGGUCCUUGAUGAUAACUGCAAGUUAAAUGUGGAAAAUCUACGAAUCAGGCCAUGUACCAUGAAUCUGUAGGCAUCAUUGCUUGCCUAACCAAUCAGUCAGAAAUUUUUUGUAACUUAAAUUUGGUUCUUUUUUUUUUAAUUCUUUUUUCAUUUGUGACAAAGUUUUGGACCACUGAAGAACUUUGCAAAUUGCAAAAUAGAGCUUCUCUCACUAUCUAGACGUUUGUGUACGAUGGAUGGAUAAUAAGAGCUUGCUUAUUUUCAAAGAUAUAUAUAUAUAUAUUCUGUUAGAUGCUUUAUUCCUUCUUCAUUUACUUUUAAAAUUGAUUUGAUUGCUGUCAAAAAUUAAAUUGUCUUUGGCUUUCUCUGGUGGGAAUUUGGAAGGGUCCAAGCACCCAAGACUUGGAAAAAUGAAUAAAAGCAAUGUAUCAAAACAGGUAGAAUGUUCGUAAAAUUAAGGUUUUGUGUUUAUUUUUGAACAUUCAUGAAGAAAGGCAGAAGAAAUUCUACUUCAUCUCAAGAAUCUCGUGGUUGGGUAAUUUUUUUUUUAAAUGGUGUUUUAUUCUUCCAUCAUCAAUAAAUGUCAUAACAAAUCUUAAGCAAAGCUUGCGAAAGACUUUGGUGGUAUAAUGAAUUUAAAUUUCAAAUAGACUAUGACUAUAUUUCAAAUGAUUGAAUUUUGAAUCGUUUUAAAUUGAGAUUGAUUUCAUAUUUUAUUAUUUACAUUUGAAUCAUUUUAAAUUUAAAUUACUGAAUGUUUCGUUUCAAGUCAAAGUGAUUAAAAAUUUCUUGGGUGAGAAAUCUUUCUUUUUAUUUUAUAAUUAGUCUUCUAUUUAUUUUUUUGUUUAUUAAUUGAUAUAAUUAACACAUAUGGGACUGGUCCCCUUAAUUUUUAAUGUACUUUUCGAAUUGAUGCAGAGAAUAUAUUUUAUUGUUGAUAUUAUAUAAAAUUGCUACAUUAACCAGUAAUAUAUUUUCCGAAUUCGGGGUAAAUUCUUUCUCUUGUACAAUUUAUCCAACAGCCUUUCUUAUGAUUAGUAUAAUUACUCAUUUGGGACAACUUUUUGAUCAAUAUAAUUUAAACAAAAAAAAAAAAGAAAGAAAAGGAAAGAGAGAUGGGGUUUUCUUUUGCUACUUUAUUCUUUGUUUGGUCCAUUUUUAAUUUUUAUUUUCCAAUUCGUGACAAGAUUGGACCACUGGACAACUUUGCAACUUGCACCAGAGCAUAUGUGGAGUCUCUAGCACAAGUUGAUUUUUCAAACAUAUUCUAAGUUAUAAGUUUUUGAUUAAUCUUUCUUCCUUAAGAUUUUUCCGUAAAAAAAAAUUGUGUUCCUUUUCUCUAAACGGGGAAAUAUGUAAGGCAGGAAGACAGAGACAGAGUAAUCAACAAUAAUUUGCUUUCUAGUACAACAUUAAUGUAUAUUAAAGAAAGAAAUUAUGUGAAUUUUGACAAAAUCACAAAAAGGGGAAUAACACAAGAAACAUGCGAAAAGUCUCCAAUAUCAUGUAGUGGUAGCUAUUUUACAUGUUGUGUUGGGAUUGGAUAGGUUUACGUAUAUCACAAUUUUGGAUUGUUGAUUUGGUUUCAAGUUAAUUUGAUCUUUCAUUUAUAUUUCUAUUCAAUUGAUUUCAGCUUUCAAGUCAUUUUGAGUUUGUGUUGCUUGAAAUUUUACAGAUUUUUUAAAUAUAUUACGCAUGUGCUUAUGCAUACAAAACAAAGAGAGAUCAGUUUAAGUAGAAAUUUCGUCUAAUCUCUCGACUUGUACACUUUUACUAUCGAAUUCUUUUGUUUUGUGGAAAUGGUAUUCACAUUAUUAAACACUGAAAUUGAUACAGGGCCCCAAAAGUAGAAAAGAAGGGACUGGCUGGCUUUUCACCCACCAAACCGAAGAGAACUGACCUAUUGCUCUCAAGCAUGCAGUAGACAUGCCAACAAAAUGUCUACCCAACCCAAAGAAUUGGUUAACAUAAAAUUUUCAGAAAAUUAUGGUGCACUAAUCAGAAAUUUGAUUUUUCUAAUUAGAAUGAAGAUCUUGGUCUUGUCUCAUUCUCAGCUGGAAAAAGAUGGCUAUCCUGAAAUGGUCCUUCCUUUCCCAGAAGCUUCAUAUGAAAGUGUUGAACAUCGAAGAUGCCUUGGGGACUUCAACACAAGGAGACAAAUUAGGAGCAUCCAUUGUUUUGGGAGGACUUUUUCAACAAUUUCUCCUCUCCUCUUCUGGUUUUUGGUGACUUUGGAAAUAUUUUCGUGAUAUUUAUUCUAAGGAGCAAUGUAUCUAGACCCCUUUUUUUCAAAGUUCAAAUUGUGAUUGAUGGGCUCUACAUUUAGGAUAAUGAUUUUGAUAAAAUAAAAUAAACAAUUUAUUAUUACUAGGAGUAUUAUUUUUUGGCUAGCCUUUGGAAGAAGGCAAAUAGAUCUGUCGUUAUCAAAUUUGAGUGUGGAGACUGCGUGGGUGCUCAUGUCGAACUCGGGAGGCUUUGGCAGCAAUUUCUGAUUAUUUCUAGAAAUCAUUCACAUGAAUCCCGUUUUUAAAACAAAAAAGGGUGCGGUUGAAAAUUCAUUAGCAUGAAUGCCCAAACCAAACUUAUUGAGAAAAUUUAUCAUAUACUUAGUCAAUAAAUGUAUUUCUUUGAUGAGGGUUGGUAAAGUUUUAAUUCUCUUUUUGGAUAAAAAGAAAACGUUAAUUGCCUUACAAUGCAUGGACUGCUGUUGUUGUUGUUGGUAUUUUGUCAUCGUCGGUGAACACUAUUUACUGUUUUCCACGAGGAAAAGAAAAAGUUUGCUUCUUUGAUGAAAGUUAUUUUUCAAAGUAAAAUACUAAAUAGACAUUUAAACACAGUUAUCAUUCUCCCAGAUCAAGUUUCUUUCCACCAUGGAAUGGUAUAACUAUAGUACUUGGCUAAAGAAGACUAGUUGAGAACUUCCUUUUUGGUUAUUUUCUCUUUUUCUUGUUCAUUUUUGUGUCAUCCUCCGACCCAUUGAGACAAUUAAUCCAUGCAAAGGCUUGACAGUCCCCGGUUGAUAAUCAUUCCAUCUCUGAAAAUUCAACUCCAUGUAAUCAACGAGACUGUAGAUAUCUUCAGCUGGAUGGAAGGAUCCAUGGAGUUUCCGUCCACAAAUGACACUACUACUUUUCUUUCUCCUUUCUGUUAAACCCUUUUAUCAACACCCCCAUCCAUCAUGUUUCAAGGGCCAAUGAGUGCAUCAUCUUGACUUUACUCGUCUUCCCAAUAAUGGGAUUAUCAAAGAGGUUUUUCCUUUUCUUUUCUUCCCCUAUGCCUCCGUGACUGGCGUUGGUCAUGGAUUGUUUAACAAAUGCUGUGUAUAGAUCCAUAUAUUAAGAAACUCCAAGUAUCUGGAUUUUGGAUGUGAAACCUUUGCUUAAUGUGCUUCCAUAUUUUCAAUGUAUAAAAGGGAAAUGAUAUGCUUGAAAUAGAUAGUGGUUUUCAUUGUCAAGUCAUGUAGCGACAAAAUCCUUGGAUGUUUGCCCCAAUUCAUUGAACAAUCAUAAAUAGAAAGUAGCAUCCCAUCCAAUUCUAGUCAUCUAAACGUCGCAUUUUGCCCAUCAAUGCAGAGAACAAACAAAUCAUUCUUAUUAGAAAAAGAAAAAGGUGAAGUUGAUGACUGUUAGGAAAAAAAUAACAAUAAUAUGAUAUGUUGAUGUGAUAUGAUAAAAUUGUUAAUGUAAUAUUUUUUAUUAUUUAUGUUAAUAUCGUACACAUAUAAAAUGAUUAAUGAUAUUUUGAUUAUUAAUAAUUAAUUAAAUGUUAAUUAUAAAAAUUUAUUCAAUUUAAAAUAAAAAUAUAAAACUUGAGUGAAUGAAAUAAAAAUUUUUAAAUUUUUUUCAAAUAUUAUGAAAAAAAAAAGAUAUUUCCAAUUUCUUCCUUCCAAUUUUUUGUCCACAAAAUAUUUUGACGGUUAUUUCAACCGUCGAAGGCUGAGUUGUUACCAUCAUCCACGUGGGAUGACAGUGGACAAGGUCCCACGUGUAGCUCAUAUUCGACAAAAACUGACUUCAUAUGCUGACGUCACCUUGCUCUGACCUGGCCGCCGUCCCUGAAUUGACCCACGUGUUCAUUUAACCUUGGCUGUGGAACCCAAAUAAAAAAACGAUCAAAUAAUAUGAUGCCAUAUCAGCUUCCCUUGCCGCUUGUCUACUGUUUUGGCCCUUAUUCUAAUGCCGUCCUAUUUUACAUUUAAAUCCUCUGUUCGGGGUGUAUAAAGGGAGCUAAAGCCAGAAGUUUUUUGCUCUGCCUCCAACUCCCAACACUUUAACCGAAACAGAGGAGCAACAGAGAAACACUUCGAGAGCCUUAAAAAAAACAAUGGAUUCCUGCCUCUUUCACUCUCCGAAUUCCAACUCCUCAUCGGAAUCUUCAUUCGGAUCGCCGGAGUUCUUCCCUUUGCACAACAACCAUCUUCCUUUCAACGAAAAUGACUCCGAGGAGAUGCUUUUAUACGGGCUACUCGCGGAGGCUACACAAGAAACAUCAGAAAUAACGUAUCCUAAUCAAGUAAAGGAAGAAGAGGUUAGUUCAAUGGAAAAGGAAAGUCCAAAGAAAGAAAAGUCUUACCGGGGUGUAAGAAGGCGUCCGUGGGGGAAGUUUGCGGCUGAGAUAAGGGAUUCUACCAGGCACGGCAUAAGGGUUUGGCUUGGAACAUUUGACAGUGCGGAAGCUGCUGCUUUGGCUUAUGAUCAAGCUGCUUUCGCCAUGAGAGGCUCCGCUGCGAUACUCAACUUUCCGGUGGAAAGAGUGCAAGAGUCACUGAGAGACAUGAAGUGCCACCAGGAGGAAGGGUGUUCGCCGGUGGUGGCUUUAAAGAGAAAACACUCCAUGAGGAGGAAAAUGAUAAGCAGAAGCAAGAAAGAAAGAGAUGUCAGGAUAAACAAUGUGAUGGUGUUGGAGGAUUUAGGUGCAGAUUACUUAGAAGAACUUUUGACUACAUCUGAAACUGCUAGACCUUGGUGAAUCCAAACAAAAAAAAAAAAACCAGCAAGAAUAAAACUUCUUGUUCAUCUACUUCUAGUCUUUUUUAUUUUUUUUUUCUUAACUUUGCCUUGAGCUUUGUUUUUGUUUUUCCUUCGGAACCCCACCAUUUGUAAUCAGAAAAAGGGUGUAAGAAGGUUCACAUUUUGAUAUUUUUAAAUGUGCAUCCUCUCUUUUCUUUUUCAUAUCCCAUUUUGUGUAAAGUUGAGGAACAAGAAAUUAAGAAUAGCAAUAAUUUCCAGAGACUGCUUGUCUCAUCCACCAAAGACACAGAGGUUGGCUGCUGCUGCUACUAUUAUAGGAUUUAUGGACACGUAUCCCUCUUCCAAAAAGAGAAAGGAGGACAUGACUACAUACCCAUAUUUUGCAAACAAAAACAAUUUAAGAAUGAUGACAUGAAAUAGUACUUUAUAAUUUUUUAUAUAGGCUAUAUUAAAUGGCAAAAAACAACUUUAUUUCACUAACUUAUAACUUUUUACGAUUUGAAUUCGAAAUUUCACAUAAUUAAAAUACGACUAAUUUAAAUAACAAUAUCGUAUGAAAAAUAUAUGAACACAAAUAAUGUCAUGUGCGAGUCAUCGGAACAGAAACGUUCGUUAUCAAAUUGAGUAUAAUUUAAUCGAUAAUAAUUUAUUUUAUUUUUAAAAAAAAAAUAAAUUUCAAUUCCAUCUUAAUUAAAUAAGUAAAGUGUUAUUUUAUCUAAGCAUAUACAUCACACACGUAAACCAAAGAAGAAAAAUUCUUCAAGACCAAAAGAUUCAAAGUAUACUGAAAAUAAUUAAGAUGAUCAAACCCUUUAUUAAAAAAGAAAUGAUGGUCUACAUAAUAUAUCUCUAUAUUAAAUUUAUACAUCUAGAAUAGUCUCUGGCAGUGGUUGCAGCAUCAACUCUUAUCUCUUCCAUCUUUUUAUUUUCUUCUAAGAUGAGUCAAAGCUUCUACUCAAAUUGAACUUCAAAUGCUUCCUCCUGUUCUCUUUUCUCGUUAAAGCAAAAGACACAGUCUAGGUUUUGUCGGUCACAAACUUGCACAUUGAAAAGUUAAAACUAUGAACUAAGAAGAAUUAAUUCGUAUUAGGCAAAGAGAAAAUCUGGGUUGGUCUUCACUUCAACAGUAAACCACUCCUUUCUUUUUCUUUCUCUCCCCUCUCUUACUUCCCUAUACAAGUCCUUUGAGUUGUAAUUUUUUUUUUCCUCCACACAAUCAAAUUGGCUAGAUUUAAAGCAAACACAGAUGAAAAUAUUAAGAGGCGAAAUUGGCGGACCAUGGAGAUUAAACAAUGGAGGAUGAUGGUUUACUUUGUCUAUAGUCUAUACGCCAAUGAUUUCACAGAUUACUAUUUGAGUGUAAUUUCAAAGUUUAGGAAGCUUCCUGCUGAGUGCUGGUUUAAUGUCUCAAUGUUAUUCUUGGACUGUUAUCUAUUGCAUGAUAAGACUAAUCUAAUUUAAAGUGAAUUUAGUAACAUAUUCUUGAUGGACUUGUUCUUAAUCGAGUUCAUGUUUCAUAUUGUUACUUUUUUCUUUGGCAAGUAUGACCAGCUUUCCUUUAUUCCAGAUGGUCAAAAAAUGGCCCAAUGUUACUAUUUCUCUUAAUUAUUCUGGAAACUUAGCUUCUUGAUAUUGGUCCUGAAAUGAGUUAAGGACUCUUUAUGAUCAAUUUGGAGUAGGAUAGUGUCAAUAGUAACCUUCUUCUUCUCUUCUUUCUUAGCAAAAACGAAGGGAAAAAAAUAUAUAUCAAUAGAAUAUUUGGCUACGGUUGAUUGAUUAAUGAAUGGGAAUAUCUCCCUUGGGGGUGGUAUAUAGUCAGUCAAUGGUGUUAGCUAAGGAAGAUGGUUAAAUUAUCUUCCAACUAAUUGAUUGAUUCCAUAAUUAUAUUAAGGAAUUUAUUGCCCGAAGCAACCUAUUAAAAAACAAAUUAUAUGGUUAAGUAAAGCAAUUUUAUGGAUCACUCAAUUUUGUCACGUGAUUCCUUGAUCGUGACAUUUAGAGUCCAAGGUUAAAAGUACGUGGGUCAGAAUCUAAAUUUUAGUCAAUUCAAAAAGGGUAUUUUGAUUUCAUGAAAAUUCAUAAAGUGUUAAGCUCAUAAUCCAACCUUUGAUACCUUAUUUGAUGCUUCCAUCGUGGCAUGGUUAACUGAACUUGGUCACCCUUUUGAACUUCUUAUUAGAUACAAAUGACGAGGAUCUUGAAUUCAAUCUUUUUUUUAUUAUUAGUUAAAUCGAAUUUGGUCACUCAUCUUUAAAUUUAUCUUUUUACUCAAUCUAAUACAUUUUAUUUUAUUAUUAUUCAUUAAAAAAUUGUAUUUAUAUCAAAACUAAACAGAUGGAAAAUAAAUUUAUCAGUAUCUUAAUAAGAGACUGUUUAAAGGUCUAUUUUAUGACAUUAAUUUGACUAAAAACAAAAAUCACUUACUAGCUCCCGAAUUACAUUUUGUUUUCCAUUGAAUAGGGUCUUUGCCACAAGAAGCUUGUACGAUUGCAAUUUACAUAGAUAUUCAUGCACGUCAAUCAUGAAGAUUAUUGAAAACAUAAAGUCCUUGUGGAUUACAGCUGGUGGGAAAAAGAUUAUUUUAAUUGAAAUUCAGGGCAAGCAACCAACACAAAGGUAGGGGAAAGAAUUCUUACAUAGACAUUAGCCUUAACUAUACUUGUCAAAGGGAAAUUAUGUUCUAUUUAAUGUUCAUGCAUUGUCUUUUACAUUCUUGGCUCUUUCCUGUUUUCCUUUUUAAAACAAGCUAGCCGCCGUAUUUGUUUUUUAUUUGUAGGACAGUACCUAAAAAUUUUAUGAUAGACAACUAACUACCUAAUUAGUUGACAAAUAAUUGUUUAAGGGAUAUGGUCAAGCAUAAUUAGACAGGAAAAAACUAUAUACAUUCUCAAAUUUUUAUUUUUACCGUGUGUUCUCAUAUCAUUAAUUAUCAAUUAUGUAAGUUUCGUUUCAUAUUUUGUAUAAUUACGAUAAAAAAUUUUAAGAAUAAAACAUAAUUUUUUUAAAUAUUGACAGAGUUGAGUGAUGACGAGAGUAUGAUCAUGUUUCAUGAAGUCCUCAUACACGAUAGAAAGAAACAUUGAACAGACCAAAAUGAUAAAUGCGUCUCAUUAUGAUGAUGUUGAUGUAUAUUUUGGGAAUGUAGCUAUCUCGUUAGAGAAGUACCACAGGCUGAUACAUUGGUUUGCAAUAAGCAGACUGUAUCUAUGCGCAUGCAGGGUAUCUGUCAAGCGUGCCAACAAGCAACUGUUUUAGAUUCGAUGAUCUGAUUGAAAUUGGACAAGGAUGAAAACCCAAUGUACCAAAAGGAAAAAACAAAGUAACAAGUUGAGGGAGGGACUUCUUUGAAAUCUGCAUCUUAAGAAUUAACUUGGCAGUCGGCAGCGGCAUAAGAAAGCCAAUGUCGUAGAGAUCUGAUUCAAUGACUCCCAAAUGUACAUUCACUUUAUAAUUUCUUGAGUGAUCAGGUUACCGCCGGGAGAAUCAAAUACCAACUCAACUCCACCUUUUGUUGCCCUAUCUAGCUGUUUUAAUUCACUUAUGCAUUGAGCCGAUAACGAAUAACAUAUGCUCAAUGGCUUAACUUUCUAAAAAUUUCAUGUUCCAGGGCUUGGAUUAAUGAAUUUUCUCAAAAAAAAUGUCUUGGUUAGGUUUCAUUUGAGGUAUUAAGAAUGUUUUUCAGAAACAGGUUUAACAUAUCUGAACUCUUAUACUCACAAGUUUAUAACGAAGGUAUAGGAAAAUUUUUUGGGUCAGAACAUUAAUCAAGAAGGUAUGUAAACCCAAUCAGUGUCUUGGCUUCUCUGGCCCAGCCCAAAUUAAGAAGAUUCAAAAUUAUCAGUAUAAUUUAGCCGUACAUGAUUUGCCACGGCCUCUCAAAGUAGGUAUUCAGGGUUUCUGACUGCCAUUUUGUUUCUGAAUCAGCACUAAGUUUGCACUUGCUAUAUCAAAGGAAAUAUAUCUAUUUGUUGAGUGUUAAGUGAUGACAGAUAAAGGGGAACAAAAGAUACUGACAGGGAUGAUCUGAUAUCUCUACAGAUCAGUUAAAUUGAUGCAUUGGAGCAGAGAAAAGAGGGUAAGUCAUAAGAUGCGAAAAGUUAUUCUCAACACACAUGAACUCAUAUGGAUCACCAGCCAUUAAUUAAAGGGACAAUUUCUUUGACAAGUGUUGAAGGCCUAACAGUACCUCUGAAAGAAAUUGGAGUAUUGCAGGACGUCAUCUUUAUCUCCAGGUGUUUUUAAUUCUGCUCGACUAGCCUUCUUCCCUAACAAGUCAUGUUUGUUCCUUGUUGCACCAAUCUGUUAUCAGUUGUAGGCACAAGAGUUUUCAAGGUCUAAGCUUCUGAUCAGUAUUACCAUCUAAAAAUACAGCCUUGAAACUUUUGGUGAAACUCAUUAAUAAGCCAAGUCAUGGAUCAUAUAAUAGCCCUGUUCAAUUCAGGAAGAUGAAUUUGGAUAUAAAAGAUAAUAUCAUGGCAUCAGUGACAAAGAACAACUAAACCAGCCAGUAGUGACUACAUAUACUAGUGUCUCUUAUGAAUAAAUUUAGCCAGAUCAUUGAUAAGACAAAAUGGAAGAUGAAACUGUUAUUAAUACACAUUCAUCAUAUUGAAGAUGAAACAGUAACUGAUACAUAUUUCAUCAUAAGCUGGAGAAACAAAUUAUGAUACACAUUCUCAUACAAAUCAAUCAUACACUGAAAGUUUCUGAUACAGGUCUCGAGAGAUGGCUUGUUCCAUCACAGUGACAGGGUCAAUAACCCCUCCAUUGUCCAAGAACAACUCCACCAAAUUCUUUGAGAAUCCACUGACUAGUGCCACUCCAGCCUGAUUGGAAGGAACAGGCGUAGAAGGGGAGUUGUUGAGGUUCCAAAACACAAUCUCUGGCAUGCCAAAACCCUUCUCUUGAAAUUUCCUUUGUAUUCCUCCAUACGUGGAUUCCCAUGAUUUUGCUGUGAGUUUUCGCUGUUUCUCUUCAAUCUUUUCUUGCUCCACCUCACACAUAGCAUACCAGUCAUCCUCAAGCAAAUAACCUUCUUCACUACCAGUAUCCCAAUAUGAAAAAGGACUGUAAUAACCAAAACAUUGUCCAUUUGAGUAAGUUGAAACGUUUCUUAUUGGAUGAUCAUAAUUCUGCCUAGAUGCUUCAUCAAAUUCCACACGACUGAAAACAAAAAUCCUCUUUAUCAUCUGAUCCUCCUUUGCCUUCCCAUCAACAGCAACCUGCAAAAUUCUAUCAAACACUUUCUCAAAAUCAACAUUCGCACCUCUAUCCAUCUUCCUUAAAAACUGUCUUUGACAGAAGAUUAUCCCCAUGGAUCAAAUGAAGCUCCGGAUUGGAGCCACAGAUAAUCACCUUCCCCUUCUAUGGCUCUUCACUGAGUUCUGAAAUCAAUAGCCCGAAAGCAACACAGACCUCCAUAGGAGCCCCAUCCAUGCUGUUAGAAUAUUGCAAUGCAGUUAUUCAAUUCUCCCUUCCUUUUAUGAUCCUCCACCAUCCUCCUCCAUUGCAACUCUGCAACAUCAUCUGCAUCCUUCAAAGAUGCAAUGAUUUCAUGGGGAAGCAAUGCACUAGCAGCAAUUGUUUCAUCUGCUUUCCUCACAUCCUGAAUAUACCCACUAAACCUUUGGUCCUCAUGCCACAAGAAAUGUUUCUUGUAAUUUUGCAUGGAAACAGAAGGCACCUGUUAUAAGACAGAGCAUCCCAUUGCUUUGAACUCAUAUACAACUCUGGCAAUUCAAGAGCCUUAUGCAAAGGAACAAGAACUUGCUUUCUCAACCUAUCUCUCACCCUAAAUGCAUAAUGAGCCUCCUCUAUUCCUUCGUAAUCAGGAUCGGAUUUCCUUGGAAACAUCCUCCUCGCUAUACUUUCACAUAUUAAAGUAGCCUUAUCAUAAGCAGAAUAAAUUGAAGGACACCAUUUAGACGCCAGACUAAUUUUCCUAACCUCCCCAGAAUUCUAAAACAUCAUAUCUUUCUUUAAAUCUUCUGCAAACAUAUCAGCUAUACAAUCAUACAAAAACCUAUACAUGGGAUCAUGCACUACAAUACCUUUCGUAGGCCUUUUUCGCCUUGUUCAGCUCACUCUCCUUUCUUAGACUCCUCGUGUUCUCCUUAUUCACGUAUGCCAUCUUUGUCUUCUGGGAAACCGUAGCAUCCCUUGGCAACUGUGGCUUACGCUUGGAUUUGUACAUCGUUUUAUUGAGCCAUUUGCCUUUCUUUUCUUCCUGGUUUGCCACUCUUACUUCGCAUUUUCCCUCACUUUCUCUCCUUCCAAAAGCCUAUAAAGAAUCUCCAACAAGUCCUUGUAGCAAUCAACCUAUGCAAAAACCCUGACAUUGCAUGCUAAGGUUUUAGGGUGGUUUUUGUGUAACCAUAAUGCAGCACUAUAAAAGCUUUCUUUAACAGACUUUCCAGUGCCACGGACAACUCUUAAAUUGCAAACAAGCCUCAAGGUGGUUAAAGGUUCGUAAGACCAGGCAUUUACGAGCAGAUUAACAAGGGCAUGAGUUGGCAUGGAAGGCAAGUCAGAGAAGAACAAGUCCCGGCAAGGGUUGACAGUGUUUGAGCAGCUGAAGGACUCCUUUUUCGGGAACCCUAACUGCGGUAUGAUGGGUUUGACAACGUCGAGUUGAAGGUUGUAGACGCCAGCUUGGAGGGAGCGCACCAUGGGAUCGCCACUGGGGGAUAGCCCCGGUGGACCAAGAAGCAAGGUAUUGGAAGCCAUAGGAAUUAAAUGGCUCUUGGGUCUUUUUCGUUAUUUCUUUCUAGGGUUUACUGUUGAGAGUAUGUGGCUGUGAAAUGGAGCUCUUGGGUGGGUGUUUAAAAAGAGUGGCUUUUACUUGAGGAGCAAGAAAUUAAUGGAGAUUUGAAUCAUGUGAUAGCAGAUUCAGCAGAAUUUUACUCCGCCAUGUUGUCUAUCCUCUCGCAGAUAAUUAGGAGUUGCAUGAUAGCCUUAUCUAGAAUCCUUUGAAAAUAUAUACAGUAUAUUAUAAUUGUAAUUACUUUUGGUAAUUCUGUUAUCAUUAAUUGAGUAAAAGUUACCCUUCAAACAUGUCCUAGGGGCAACAUUGCUUCAGUAAAAGGUUACCACUUUGGAGUGGCUUAACUUAUUUGGUUUAGGCAAUUGUACAAGAAAAAUUCUUUAGUCUCAUAAUUGAGCCAGUUCAAAGAUGUAUAUACUCCUUAUUAAUUACCAUGAGGAGUGUAGUGAUAGAUUUGAAAUAUUUGCAUAUAGUUUGGGUCAUGGAACGUGCUUUAAGACCUGUUUAGUUUUAGACCUGUGAAUUUUAGCUGUUGUAUACACAGUUGUUGGACCAACCCAUCAUCUGAUAUCUAGUUUCCUACCCAACAAUGGUUCACAGAGCCAGGCCUCCUCCAAUCUUGAGGUGAGUCAGUGGGCCUUUUUAUGUAUUUACACAUGUAUCCUUUCCUCUACUGUUUUUGGUUUUGAUAAAUGACUGCUCCAACAAAUUUAAUUUAUCCACAACUUUUUCUCAGUGGUUGUAAGGACUUUCAUUAGAUGAAAGGUCUGAUCGCUCAUUUUCUUUAAAGAAGAUGAGUAAUGCCAUUAAGAGAGAAAUAUGCUAGCAUCUCAUGAUUAUUCAAUUUAAGAUAUUAGUGAUCCACAAUGUGAGAGCGUUCUAAAUAAAAAUAACAACUUAACAGCAAAUUUAUUACAGGACUAAAGUAAAUUGACGAAUGACUUCUUGUGUGGUAACAAUGCCUGGAAAGAGAUCAACCUAAUCGGUCCUUUCCCAGAAGCUGGCAUGGGUGUUGAGCCAAGUUCCUUUGGGGGUCAUGGAAUUGGAAUUAUCACAUAUAUUUUAUUUUGGGGUAAAAAUGUGAAAGGCAGAGUAGUCUCUGCAUUUCGCACGCCUGUGCAUUAGAUAUUCAUGGCAGACGAAACUGGAUAUAAUUGACUGAAGGAUAGAACCCAAAAGUAAUUGGAUGCCUUGGAAUCUUGAACUCCGAAACUUAUCCUAAUGGUAUGAUGUUCUUGUCACCUAUAUAAAGUAAUUGACAAAAGUUUUAGGACUUUGGUAACGCCAGUUGAACUCUCUUAGUCCUUUUGAUGUCCCUGAAAUUUGUGAUUCCCUUGACUUAUCACUUCUGGUCCGGUGCACAGACCUAUUCGUUACCUUACCUGGAGCUAGCUGCAACAGGUUAAAGUCUUGCUGAAAUUUGUCAUUUCCUGUCGAUUUGUAAAUGAUGUUGAUGUGUUCAGAAAUGACUUGGUUUAGUUUCUAAUGCUCUUGCUGGGUUCGAUUUAAUUUGUUUGACAGUCUUCCUAAGUUAUUGCAGGUUGGGUUUUGUUUUGGUCAAGAGUGUUCCUAUGAAGAAAGAGGAGGACAUUGGCAGCAAAAUUUCAGUUUUUUUAGCCUAAUUCUUUGGUACAUGUCCUAAGAAACUUGAUUUCGAAGAGGAGUUUCAAGGGAAGAACGUUAAUCUCUUACAUUUCUUAUAGCUAGUUAGCUGAAUAUACUAAAUUACACGAAGUAUAUCGUAUGUAGUACUGCAGUUCAUUGCAAUGGAUAUCCCCGUUGAAUUCAGUCUCAUCAUGGUUGAACCACUUGAAAACUGUGCAUUUUUCUAGUCGUUUUGAGACGGUGCACGAAGAUGUUUCCAACAUUUUUGUGGUUUGGGUUGUGGGAUGAGCUUCAAGUUCCAUAACUUGGGCUAAAAGGUAACUACUUCUUCCCCAGUUUUGCAGAAAAUCAAUGAUCAAAGGUCAGGUGGACCAAUGAAAAGUUCUGCAUCUUAAGUUUUCUACCACACAAUGGAGGCCUCCCUCAAUCUUGGGUUGAUAAAUAAACUGUUAUUUAUUAACAAAUGAGAUAUGACAUUUCCAAUAUUUUCCUAUGAAGAUCAUUUUGUUAUUUGGAAUGAUACAUUUAAACUAUUCGAGAGAGGAGGAAAGAUUUAACCAUGAGAAAACGAAACAGGUGAGUGGUUUUCUUAAUGUGAAGAGAUAGUGAAAACAAUUUUUAGUUAUUGAGCACGCUUCCUUAAAAUUCUAGCUGGCAAACACAAAAUGAAGAGGUUUUCAGGGCAUGUUAAUUUGUCAGGACAAGUCUCAUAAUUUGGCUAUACGCCAUUGUUAAAUCAUUGUGGUGAGGCCAUUCAAUGAUGGUUGGUGAGGGGGCCAUAUAACAGCAGUUAAUGUAAGGAAUAGUACCAUGCUUAGCUUACCCAUUACAGGAAAUACAUCAACAUAAUUAGGCAGCAAUAAUUAUACCACGGGGGGACUGAAAUGCAGCUGCUACUGCAAUGCUAAAAGGCAUGUGUCUUAUGAAGUCAGAAAGGACCUGGUAGUCAAUUAAACAUUAUUGCUCUUGAUGAGGACCAAGCCUAAUCAUGGCCUCUACCAUCCGCAGUAAAUGUUUUAGGUGGAGGUUUCAUGCUAUUGCCGCCACCUUCGUAUCGUCUGUCAUCUUGUGAUGAUAUUAAAGUUUUUGACUUGAUGAUGUUAUUUAUGAUCAUUUGAGACGCAUUUAUAAGGUUAAAACCUAGAAGGACUGUAAAAUUCUUGUAGACAUGUAACUGUAUGAAUGAGAAGCUAUAGGAUUUUAAGUUAGUAGGAAAUAACCUGCCAGCCUAUGGAAGAAGCUAAGAAGGGGUGUGGGGAAGGAGUUAUUAAUUUCUGGUUAAACAAGACAUACUACAAAGCAUUUGUGUUUUACCAUCUCAAAGUAGUUAGAAAAUUGGUUUACUAUGGUACCUCCAAGGGAUGCAAGUUCACUGUAAUGGGCAAUAAAAUGGUAUCUGCUGCAACAGAGGCACUCAGAAUACAUUAAAUGAGAUUUAUGACAAUGCAGUGGCGUAUGGAGUCGGUAGGAAAAAGGUGAUCAGGGACCAGACCGUAAAAUUUUGUGGUCUCCGAUCAAAUUGUUGAAAGAUUGUUUUCAGAUAAGUUCUUCGCAAUAACAUGACAUGGACUGCACCUUAGUAGUGUCUAGAUGAACAAUAUUAAAAUAUUGUCUAUUCCUAACAGGACCAAAAUAAUGCAGAUUUUGAGAACUAAAAUAUCAUUAACAAGUCCUGUCUCGUUACUUUUUCUUGUCCGGAAACAUGCAGAUCUGGCUUACGUCCCUGGACAACUUCAGCACAAUCUUGUUUAUAAGUUUCUUUGGUAAGUUUUUCUCGCAGGAGGAUGAUAGCAGUCUAGCUAGUCACUUCUGAUUUCUGACCAGUUUGUAAUGGAAACACAUUUACACCACAAAAUGAGAAUAUUCUUUUUUCUUAUCCCCAUUAACUUUUUUAUUAAAUUAUUCAAAGUUUUUGGAUGAUAUUUUUUGUAUUUUCAUAUGGAUCAAAGUGGUUUUUAACAUAGUACUUGAAUAUUUAAUUCAAUGAUUGAUGUAUAAUUAUUUUAUCUUAAAAGUAAGAUUCGAAUUUUUUUCUUUUAAUUAUAUAAAAAAUUAUCUUUAAAAAUCAAAAUAGCUUUAGCAGCAACGUAGUCAAAUUAGGUACACACUUGUGAAUACCAGAAAAAAGUUGUUAGGAAACUUUAAUUUCAGUGCACCAACUUUUCCUCCACUAAAUUCAGCUUUUUCUCAUUACUGUAAUAUUAUCAACUUGGGCUUAGAAAUGUGACCAAAAGGCAGGUGUCCUCGUCACAUUUAAGUUUAUGAAAGCUAGAGAUGGAUGUCAAGGAGUGUCUGUCGGUGCCAAAAAGCUAACUGAUCUGCUUACGGACGAGACUGUAAACCAUCGCAAGGCGGUUUUAUGGGUUUGCCAAGCAUUUGCUGACACCAAGACUGUUUAGGUGAAAAUUAGAUACAUAACCUUCCUUUGGGGUAAUCAUAUGGUUUCGCAGACUCUGAAAACUUGAAAUGCAUGAAGAAAAAUGCUUUCAAGGCUUCCUGUUAGCAUUUGCAUUUAAUGUAGGACCUAUAGUCUAUAUUUGUUAGGGCCACUUUGCUAAAUCACCUUAAUGCUUGCUUGACUCCUACUAUCAAUUUAUACAGCUUGUUCGUUUAUAAUUUUGGAACUCGCUUGGAUGGAAUGCACACGAAAGGGCUAGAAGCUAGGGGUGGAUAUGUAUUUAGCUGCACAUAGAAACACUGGAACGUGGUUUAGAUGGAUCUUGGACAGUUUAGCUUUUGAAAACAGGAAUUGAAACAAGAACUAGAAGAAAAUCAAAGUUACGAGGCUCAUUUCAAAUAUUUGAUAAUAUAAUUUGUACUCCAAACUCUUUUAGCCCCUUUAAAAAUUCUAAUUAUAUAACAAGGUUGGAAUCUGUCAGCAUCUCCUCUGACAGGAUGGUGGGGUCCUUGCAUGGAUAAGGAGACCACCGUUGGGUGCAUGCAGAAGACCACAAGGUCGUCAAGAGAAGCCCGAGUAGAAUAAGAGAAUAAGCUCGUUUACAUGUUUUUGUCCUUACACAGAUUGAUUUCCAGUUAUUUCAAUAAAAAAUUUUCAACAGUUAUAAAUGGACUGCAUUACAAAAUAUCAGACCAUUGUCCUUUCUUUCUCUGCAAUCGAAUUUAUCAUACUUUUGUGCUGAAACAAUGAAAUUCAGAUUUGUGGCAUUAUGGCAUAUUUUAGAAAUCAUGGAAUAUUUACUUUUUAAUUAUUUUUUAUAUAAUUUUGUAAUCAUGUUUUCAAAAAAAAAUUGUAAUUAUAAUUCAUAACUUUGUCCAUUUUUAAGCAUAUUGUAACAUAGAAUCAAAAUUUCACAGUAACCAACCAGGGCAUCUUUACUUGGUUGAUGGAAACAAAAAAACUGAGAAAUAAAUCUCACGCUUCUUAUAAGUAGGAAGUUGGGUAGAAGAUUUCUGUCCCAAUUUAGUUUAUGUGCUUGACAUAUAUUAUUAGCAUUUUUUGGCAUCCAGCAGAUGGAUAAAGAUUGCUCAUUGCAACUGGCAUUAUUGUGUCCAAUAUUAUAUACAUAAAUAUAUAUAUAUAUAUAUAUAUAUAUAUAUAUAUAUAUAUUUNUAUAAAAAUAUAUAUAUAUAUUAUAUAUAUUAUAUAAUAUAUAUAUUGUCUUAGCCUGUCUGCCACUGUUUACUCCAUGCAUUUAGUGAAACAUAUGAAAAAGUUUUUGAGUCCUGGAGCUCUUUUGGAUGGCCAAAAAGGCACAUGCACGUGCAAAUACAGGAAAAAUCUGCGAUUAAUACUACUGCAGUUGGGAUUUGCACUUAAGAUGAAUUUGGAUAUGCUCGAUUGCUCAUUAAGCAGCAAGAAGAGAAUAGACAUUUCAAAGAGUACUGACAGGAGCUUUCUCAAUCGCUAGCUCCCGAUCUCUCAUCAAACAGGACUUAUGAUAAAAACAUUAAAUGACAUGCAAGAAAAUAUAACACAAGUUGGCAGCAGCCCUUAUUCGUAGUUACUAAUCUAUCUAUAUGGCCAUAGUAGCUCAUGUUGUUCGGAUGGCUUGGUGAUGGGGGCUAGUUUUAUGGCUUCCCCAUUGGAGGGUGUCCUGGAUAGUGACCAUAAGGUGGCUCAUACACCGGUGGUUUCUUAGGAGGUUCAUAUACUGGUGGCUUCUUCGGAGGUUCGUAAACCGGUGGUUUGGGCUCUGGCUUCUCUUUCUUCGGAGGUUCAUAAACUGGUGGUUUUGGUGGCUUAGGUUCAUAUACUGGUGGUUUUGGUGGCUUAGGUUCAUACACUGGAGGCUUCUUUGGAGGCUCAUAUACUGGUGGUUUGGGUUCUGGCUUCUCUUUCUUUGGAGGUUCAUAAACUGGUGGCUUUGGUGGCUUAGGCUCAUAAACUGGUGGCUUUGGUGGCUUAGGUUCAUAUACUGGUGGUUUCUUUGGAGGCUCAUACACCGGAGGCUUCUUUGGAGGCUCAUAAACUGGUGGCUUUGGUGGCUUAGGUUCAUAAACUGGUGGCUUAGGUUCAUAUACUGGUGGCUUUGGUGGCUUAGGCUCAUAAACUGGUGGCUUUGGUGGCUUAGGUUCAUAAACUGGCGGUUUCUUUGGAGGCUCAUACACCGGAGGCUUCUUUGGAGGCUCAUAUACUGGUGGUUUGGGUUCUGGCUUUGGAGGCUUAGGUUCAUAUACUGGUGGUUUCUUUGGAGGCUCAUAAACUGGUGGCUUUGGUGGCUUAGGCUCAUAAACUGGUGGCUUUGGAGGCUUAGGUUCAUAAACUGGCGGUUUCUUUGGAGGCUCAUACACCGGUGGUUUCUUGGGAGGUUCAUAAACUGGUGGUUUGGGUUCUGGCUUUUCCUUCUUUGGAGGUUCGUAAACCGGUGGCUUGGGCUCCGGCUUCUCCUUCUUUGGGGGUUCAUAGACAGGGGGUUGGGGUUCUGGCUUCUUUGGAGGUUCGUAAACUGGUGGUGGUUUGUAAAUUGGGGGUGGCUUCACCUCGGGAGGUUUGUAAACAGGAGUAGGUGGUUUCCCAUAGCCGGGUAACUCGUAGGUACCAAGGGAGGGAGUGGCGAGAACCACCACUCCCAGGAGCAGUACUAGUAAGUGUGUAAGAGACAUCUUGGAGCUCUGGCUUUCGAUAGGGCAACUCGAA
rnacentral:lncRNA from 1 species